GGCCCCAAGCAUUUUGGAUAAGGGAUAUUCAACCUGUAAUACAAUACACAACAAAGUACUGCAAAGAGUUAAUAUCCUUCAUACAUGAAGGGCUCAUGUAAAAUCAACAAGAAAAUAAGGAAAAUACUUGUAGAAGAAAGUUGGCAAAGGAUAUGAAUAGACAAUUUACAAAGAAAAAUAAUGGGCUGCAAAUCUAUAAACAGAUGUUCAACCUCACUGAUGAUGAAAUAAAGGCAAAGCAAAGUAAUAAUGAGAAGCCCUUU
rnacentral:lncRNA from 10 species